GCAGGAGGCCGUGGUAACGUGGGGUCCCCGGCUGGUACAGAGAAGCAACGGCCAAAUCCACGACCUCGGCCUGAGGCAGCGGCGGGAAGCAGACAGUUUGCUACGACAUUAUGGAAGGCGGUGGGGGCAGUGGCAACAAAACUACAGGAGGUUUGGCCGGGUUUUUUGGAGCUGGCAGAGCAGGUUACUCGCAGGCGGAUUUGGCUGGCGUCCCACGGCACAGACGAGUUUAUUUUACCGACUGGAGCUAAUAAAACCCGGGGCAGAUUUGAACUGGCCUUCUUUACCAUUGGAGGAUGUUGCAUGACAGGGGCUGCAUUUGGGGCAGUGAAUGGUCUUUGGCUAGGAUUGAAGGAAACUCAGAACAUGGCCUGGUCAAAACCAAGAAAUGUACAGAUUUUGAAUAUGGUGACGAGCAAGGGGCACUUUGGGCUAAUACUCUAGGUUCUCUGGCUUUGCUCUAUAGUGCAUUUGGUGUUAUAAUCGAGAAAACACGAGGUGCAGAAGAUGACCUCAACACGGUAGCAGCCGGAACCAUGACAGGCAUGUUAUAUAAAUGUACAGGUGGUCUCCGAGGGGUAGCACGAGGUGGUCUGGCAGGACUAACACUUACCAGUCUUUAUGCACUAUAUAAUAACUGGGAGCAUAUGAAAGGCUCCUUCCUCCAACAGUCACUCUGAAGAUUUUGCCAGCUCAUGGAGGACACUUCAGUAGUCAUCCAGAUCAAUUUAUAAGUCAGUCUGGAGUUAUUCUCUCUUCUACCUACAAUUAGUUUGAAAAAUCGGAGAUUCUGGUUUGCUGUGAUGAAGAUCAUGGAUGGUUGACCAGGACUGCCAGUCCUUCCAGCCAGUGGGUUGAAGCCAAAAUCCUUUCGGCGGCUCAUGGUUCUAGUCUCUGCAGAAGGUCUUAUACUUAACUGUUCUCUUCCCCCCCACAACUGGAAAACCACUUACUCCCAGAAUUCAGGUCCU